AGACCCGGCACCCGCGCAACGGAGGAGGGGCGCUGUGCCGUCUCCCCAACGGCGGUCAGCUUGGACCGCCUGCCCGGCGCACGCCCGGGGCGGGGGAGCCGAACUCGGUGCCAGCCGCACCCGGGCGGGUUGCUGGUGCGCCCUCCCCUCGCCCCCGUCCCGGGGGUCCUUGACCCAGGCUCUUGGGGCUAGCCUAUCUUGUGAGGAGCACAAGGUCCCUGGGGGCUCAGGGAAGAGAAAUUGGAGAAAGGGGGAGGAAGCCCCCAAGAUAGAUCACCCAUUGCCUGAUUUCGCAGGAGACUGUCCGCCUUCAGUUCUCCAGCAGCUCGGGGAUCAUGGCCCACUGAACCCCCAAGCGCUUUCACCCGAACCCAGGGAGGACGACCAGGAAAGACGGGAACUCGCGUAGACACGCCCGGAAGCCCUUGUCAUGUAAAUAGCUGUCGGGGACUGGUAUAUUGUCGCCGCCCCAGCCGGCGGGACCUGGGGCGAAUCCACACCCAUUGUCUGCUGCCCGAGGGGCCACCGGCUGGGGGGCGCGGCUCCGGAGUUCAAAAGGGGUAUGAGCGGGAGGGUUGUACUUUUAUUUCAUUAAGUUUUAAUUACAGGAGUGCUACAAGAACACAUCCUUCUGGUUUAAAAAGAUAUUAAAAUAUUACAUAAGAGACCUCCCCUCCCUGGCCCACCUCCAGCCUCUUAAGAAUUUAGUGUGUCGCCUUUUAGACACUUUCUCAAAGCUUCACUUAUUUAACAGGCACUUAAGGAGCACCUACCUGUGCCAGAAACUCUCCAAAUAUUAACUCAACCUGACACCGACUCAGUGUGGCCGAAUAUUACUCUCCCCAUUUUACAGAGCGGGAAGCUUGUCAAGGAAGUCGCUUGUUGAAAUUCACACAGUGGUGGAGCCUGUGUUCCAACCCAGGACCCUGGGGUAGCUGCCUCCCCCUCUCCCACAUAGUCCUGAUUCUUUAAAUACCCACAUAUUUUUGUAACGCCUGGAGUUUCAGUAAUUAGCAGGGACUUAGUGUGUGUUCAGAGAAAAAAAAAAAAGCUUUUAAAAAUUAUUGUUACUGUGUUUGUAACAGUUUGGAUAGAGAAGGAAAAGCUGGAAUUUGGGAAGUGAAGGUGGCCUCCGGGGAGAACUUACCUAGACCAGAGCGAAUUCAUCCUGAAGAACUCAGGGAAAGCCGGUGCAGGUCGUGGGUUCCCGCUCUCCCUGCAUAGGCACCGUGGUGCUGCCAGAGCUCCCCCAGAAAGACCAGGAGGCUUGUUCUGGAGAAGUCAAGCCCAGGGAUGUGGCUCAGGCUGGUCCAGGCUCUUUGGAGGAGUCCAAGCGUGCCCAGCCCAGGGGGAGGUUCAGAGGCACUGACCGUCUUCUGUUUGGGAGGAGAAGCUCACUCUUGGAGCCACAGCCAGCACUAGGUCAGGACCCAGGCCCCGGCCCAGGAGUGGGGCAAUACCCAGGGUCUACCCCAGAUGGCACCCUGCUGUGAACUGGGCGCCCUCAGCCCCCGCCUUGAAGAAGGGGCAAUACCACCAGCGUGUCUUUUAUCAGGGAAGAUAUUGCUGCAGUUUGGCCCCUGCAACUUAAGAGAAAAGCUGAGGGGUCCCCAAGCGUCCCUUGGGGUACCACUGCAAAUACUGAGUGGGCCUGGAGAUGACCUGGGUCCCAUUCACUUCCUAGGAUGAAGGAGGUCAUCAUUACCACCCCUGCUUUCAGCCAUUUCUUCAUUCAUUCAAUCAACAAACUCUGGCUGAGCCGCAACCCUGAGCCGGAGAAUUCAGCCACGCCAGACGCAGCCCCUGCCCUCCGGGAAGUCUCGGGAGACCUGGCUAGUCUGGCUGGGAGAAGUCACACCUUGAUUGUCUUGGAAGUGAGAUGGCGUUUACACAAUGGAGGCUGCACUGCCAGCAGGCAAAGAUAACCAGUUAAUUCAGUGGCUUAAAGAAACCAAACCUACCCACAACGCUUGACCUCCCAUUCAUCCGUCUGCGACACCGGCAGUGGCUACCGUUUAUUGAGUGCUGAUGGUGUCACCUGGGAUUGACUUAGUGGUCUCUGGUGCUAGUUCCAAAGUUGAUUCUGUCUGGAGAGCUUAAUGCAGUGUUCAGACCUCAGGGUCCGAACCUGAGGGUCACCCAAAGAUGAGUGGGACAUAGCUGUGUGACCUCGGCUGAGUGCUUUCACCUCUCCAACCUCAGUUUCCUCUUCUGCAAAAUGGGGUGGCUUCAUGGCACCUUCACGUGGUGUGAUAGCGAGGAAUGAAGGGAUCGAUGCCUUGCAAGUAGAGGAGAGGGGACCGGAUACAUCUUAGUUGUUAUGUUAUUUAAUCAUCUUGGCAACCCUGGGAGGGAGGAACCACUAUCAUUUUAUUUUCCAUUUUGCAGAUGAAGAGAAUGAUGAUUCCAGCACAGACAGGGCCCCUGACGGGGCAGUAGGAAAGGAGAAUUGCUUUGGAAGGAGCAUAGGCUGGACUGCCAGCACUCAUAGGAGGCUUCGUGUGUGCCCAGGACUGCGAGAAUUAAAUGCAGGACACCCGGUUCAGUUUGAAUUUCAGAUAAACUAUGAAUAAUGUUUAGUAUAAGUAUAUCUCAAUUUAACUGGA
rnacentral:antisense_RNA from 1 species